AGGAUUAACGCUGGCGGCGUGCCUAACACAUGCAAGUCGAACGAGGUAGCAAUACCUAGUGGCAGACGGGUGAGUAGCGCGUGGUCAACCUACCGUUGAGUGGGGGAUAACUAGCCGAAAGGUUAGCUAAUACCGCAUACGUCUCCGAGGGGCAUCCCUUGGUGAUAAAAGGAGCAAUCCGCUCGAUGACGGGACCGCGUCCCAUUAGCUAGUUGGUGGGGUAACGGCCUACCAAGGCAUCGAUGGGUAGCUGGUUUGAGAGAGCGACCAGCCACACUGGGACUGAGAUACGGCCCAGACUCCUACGGGAGGCAGCAGUGAGGAAUUUUCCGCAAUGGGCGAAAGCCUGACGGAGCGACGCCGCGUGUGGGAAGAAGGCCUUCGGGUCGUAACCACUGUCGAAGGGGAGAUAAUGACGGUACCCUUGGAGGAAGCCCCGGCUAACUACGUGCCAGCAGCCGC
rnacentral:rRNA from 1 species